rnacentral:rRNA from 1 species
AGUGAACGCUGGCGGUAGGCCUAACACAUGCAAGUCGAACGGCAGCACAGUAAGAGCUUGCUCUUACGGGUGGCGAGUGGCGGACGGGUGAGGAAUACAUCGGAAUCUACCUUUUCGUGGGGGAUAACGUAGGGAAACUUACGCUAAUACCGCAUACGACCUUCGGGUGAAAGCAGGGGACCUUCGGGCCUUGCGCGGAUAGAUGAGCCGAUGUCGGAUUAGCUAGUUGGCGGGGUAAAGGCCCACCAAGGCGACGAUCCGUAGCUGGUCUGAGAGGAUGAUCAGCCACACUGGAACUGAGACACGGUCCAGACUCCUACGGGAGGCAGCAGUGGGGAAUAUUGGACAAUGGGCGCAAGCCUGAUCCAGCCAUACCGCGUGGGUGAAGAAGGCCUUCGGGUUGUAAAGCCCUUUUGUUGGGAAAGAAAAGCAAUCGAUUAAUACCCGGUUGUUCUGACGGUACCCAAAGAAUAAGCACCGGCUAACUUCGUGCCAGCAGCCGCGGUAAUACGAAGGGUGCAAGCGUUACUCGGAAUUACUGGGCGUAAAGCGUGCGUAGGUGGUUGUUUAAGUCUGUUGUGAAAGCCCUGGGCUCAACCUGGGAAUUGCAGUGGAUACUGGGCAACUAGAGUGUGGUAGAGGGUAGUGGAAUUCCCGGUGUAGCAGUGAAAUGCGUAGAGAUCGGGAGGAACAUCCAUGGCGAAGGCAGCUACCCUGGACCAACACUGACACU